AAUGAUACAUGCUUCUUGCUUUCAUUGGGAGUUGCUGAGCGAGCAUUCAGCUCAAUAUGGUAGUGGCCUUGAAUUCAGCUUAGCCAUCUGGAAACAAGUACAGUAGCAGUGUCGCAGCGAGGUACUAGGACUGCAAUUCUGCUGUACUUCGUGGCACCUUGGCUUCUUGUUAGAUGAGGAAAAGCAUCGUGCUCUUUGUUCUCAGGUGUUUGUGUGCAGAU
rnacentral:lncRNA from 1 species